rnacentral:rRNA from 1 species
UCCGUAGGUGAACCUGCGGAAGGAUCAUUAAUAAAUGGCGAAGCUUUCGAGCCUAGCUUUUAUCAUCCUAUACACCUGUGAACUAUUUGCCUUCGGGCACCAAACAAACAUAAUGUAAUGAAUGUAAUCUACUAUAAUAAAUACAACUUUCAACAACGGAUCUCUUGGCUCUCACAUCGAUGAAGAACGCAGCGAAAUGCGAUAAGUAAUGUGAAUUGCAGAAUUCAGUGAAUCAUCGAAUCUUUGAACGCAAAUUGCGCCCUUUGGUAUUCCGAAGGGCAUGCCUGUUUGAGUGUCUUAUAAACCUCACCCCUAAUGUUUUAUCACAAUAGGUUGGUGCUUUGGGUGUUGCCAUUUACCUGGCUCGCCUUAAAUGACUAAGUGGAAUGCGUAAUAAGUUCUCGCAACCCUCCACUCUAAUACAAUUUAUAUUCUGACCUCAAAUCAGGUAGGACUACCCGCUGAACUUAAGCAUAUCAAUAAGCGGAGGA